rnacentral:rRNA from 1 species
GACGAACGCUGGCGGCGUGCUUAACACAUGCAAGUCGAACGAUGAACCGGUUUCGGCCGGGGAUUAGUGGCGAACGGGUGAGUAAACACGUGGGCAAUCUGCCCUGCACUCUGGGACAAGCCCUGGAAACGGGGUCUAAUACCGGAUAUGAGCCUCCAUCGCAUGGUGGGGGCUGUAAAGCUCCGGCGGUGCAGGAUGAGCCCGCGGCCUAUCAGCUUGUUGGUGAGGUAACGGCUCACCAAGGCGACGACGGGUAGCCGGCCCUGAGAGGGCGACCGGCCACACUGGGACUGAGACACGGCCCAGACUCCUACGGGAGGCAGCAGUGGGGAAUAUUGCACAAUGGGCGAAAGCCUGAUGCAGCGACGCCGCGUGAGGGAUGACGGCCUUCGGGUUGUAAACCUCUUUCAGCAGGGAAGAAGCGCAAGUGACGGUACCUGCAGAAGAAGCGCCGGCUAACUACGUGCCAGCAGCCGCGGUAAUACGUAGGGCGCAAGCGUUGUCCGG